rnacentral:lncRNA from 7 species
UGGCAGUGAGAGCCUGCGACCAGGAGGAAGCAGAAUGCUGUGCCUCUACAGAAACAGGUGGAGGAUGUGAAAGGUUACAGACAAAGACAAUGAUGCUGGAAAAAAAAAGAGCACACCAUAAAAAAGAAUUCCCAGCAGACACCGUUUACUGUUUGUCAGUCUUCCAAUAGCUCAUGAGGUCUUAAAUGUGCUGAAACUGCUUCAGGCAAUUCUUUACAUACCCUAUACUGGGACUUCUUAGAUCCAGAUACUUCGAAAGCAUCGUCCUGUUUGAGCCUGAAAUCCUGCGUCUCUGUAUUUGGUAGCAACUAUGAUAGCCCUCUGCAUGCUGUUAACCUCAAAAGAUCAACAAGAGCAAAAUGCUAUGAAGGAUGAGUCUCCUUGGCAUUAUAUGUCAAUAAUUGUCCCCUUCCGUUGGGUAGAAAGCCAACGCUUUUCUUACUCUUUCCAGUAAAUGCAUCCAUGCUACUUUUAAUUUCCUUUAUUGGCUGAUGUGAUACACGAUGUGACAUUGUGUAAGAAGUCCUGCUUCAAAGCCCCAACAUGUGGACUGACUGCAUGCUGCCACAGACCCUAUGCCAUUGGGAAGAGGCACAGGUCUUCACAGUGACCAAUCAUCAGUGACAUCUUGGCUAGCCAAGUGUUCCAGGCCUGUCUGGGGGUGCAGAUACCACAGCAACCAGCUCUGCUGCAGAUCUGAGAUAGACAGUGGCUUCCAAAGCAGGACUCUGUUCUUAUGACAGAUACCCAAAGGCAGAUUUUCUUUUAAUUAAGUAUGAAAAUCUAUAAUGCAGUCAGCAUGGUGCCUCUUGGUAUGUUUAUUUUUAUACCCCACUUAUUUGCUUUUGUUCUCAACAUAUGCUUUCAUUACGAGGGAGACUUUUAUACUGACCAUCUGCACACUAUGAAUGAAUUUCAGUUAAAACUGGAGGAGUG